rnacentral:tRNA from 1 species
GGAUGGGUGGCCGAGUGGCUUAAGGCGCACGCUUGGAAAGCGUGUGUACGUGAAAGCGUACCGUGGGUUCGAAUCCCACCCCAUCCGCCA